rnacentral:piRNA from 1 species
UGUGUGUAAAAAAGUCCAUUUGGGUCAUUC